CAAGGUGCAGGUGGAUGUCCUGAUUGUUGGAACACUGGGCGCCUGGGAUCCCUGCAACGAGCGUGUGCUGCGGACCUGCGGGAUUGGUCAACACUACGCAUGGCUCAUGGUGUCAGACACCAUCCGAUGGUCAAGGGGCAUCUACAUCGAGCACAUCACUGGCCACCGACAGUACCAGGAGGCGUGAGCCAGAGUGACAUCGUUCUUCGACUACGAGAAAGGGACCAAGAGACUUUCUCCGUUGGAUCAUAUGAACUGGAACCAUAAACUCCCUGAACAUUAAAGCUCACCAAAUGAGGGUCAAUCCAUCCUCAUCAUCGUAUCUACUCAUUAUACUCCACACCCAAACAUAGCCACUUUAUGAACUUCAUACCCUCAUAUCUCAAUGUCUGUACUUUGACCCAUCAAUCUUUUACCUCCAAUCGGGGAUAUUGCAGAUUAUGUAUUCCUUAUGCCACCCAAUCUUAAAAGUGUAGGGCAGUGCAGUUCCUUUUGUGUUUGUUUGUUUUUAACCCAGUUUUGAGUUUGCUAGUAAAUUAUAUCAGCCUAUCUGAGAUCCUUGGAGACUGUAUCCUCUGUAUGCACAGAACAGUUAUACAACAGUCAGUGACAAUGCAGAUUUAUUUUACACUGCAGUACCAAUGUGUUUCACCCCACUUAAUACAGAGUAAAUACUGCCUACCUGACUUUUUCUCCAUGUUUUACUGGAUUCUUGUGCACCAUGUGACCCUCUUCCCAUCUGCUUUUGAGAGGUAACUUCCUUCCACUUAACAAUGCAGGAAAGAUUAUAAUAUGAGAUGGAUCCUAGCAGACACUUUCUGCUCCCUCUGUGAUAUCAGAGUGCUGUGGAUGACUGUACACCAUCAGCACCUUGGUUUUGAAUGCCAUAAAUCAAUGUUUUUCACCCAGUGGCUCAUCAUGCCCAGGGACUUCACAAAAGGCAACAAGGCUGGUAGUGAGAUGUUGAACAUUUCUAAAGCAAAGAAAAUCUCAUCCCUGCAGUCCCUGCACACCUGUGCCUUUCAAGGUCAAGUAUUCUCCAUGAACUUCUCAAAACAUAUACACAAAUAUAUAGGCUUGUCAUUGAUACAUUUUUCACUCUUAUAGUAAAUGUAAUCAGCUAAUGAAUUGUUUUUACUUUGGAUAAGAGGUUGCCAACGUGAAAGGUUGAGAAACACUGACAUACAUCUUCAUAUUGUCCCUUUGGGCUAAAUGAUCAUUCAGAACGGAUCACUGCAGUGGGAGAUACAAGGAUGACCCCCCCAAACCAGCCCUACGGCGGAAGUGCUGCUCGUCAUUCCCUCACCCCGUCCACCUUCGGGAGAGGCGAGGGUCGUGGAGUUUCCCCGCCAGAGCAGGAACUUGCAAACGCAUGGGCUCAGCAGAGGGCUCUCGGGCCUCUGUCACUGUGGCCUGGACUACAAGUCCCAGGAUGCUAUGCGGUUUCCAAGAUGGCCGCGCUCCUGGGUGGCUGUGGCGCGAAUGUUUCGGACUCGGACAGCAGCAGCAGCGCGGCGGACUUGGAGCGAUUUCGUGAGGCCGUCUGGGACCUGGCUGGGCAGCGGUCGGCGGUGGUUCGGCCGGAGCCCGGCAGCGGUAGGGCAGCUGGGGGUGACGCUGGGGUCCUUUGGUUUGGCGACGGCAGGCCCGACCGAGAGCAGGCCCUUCCCCUCCCAUGCGUGGGCUGGACUCACCUGGUCAGGGGCAAUCCUAGGCUGUCACAUCCCAGUUCCGUUCCUGCCUCCCUGGCCAGUAGUCGAGCCUGUGACUGGCCCACAUCUCAGCAAGGGCAACCAGACCCCAAAGCUGGCGAGGUGGCUAGUCCUGGAUUUUGGGUGCUGGCGGGGCGUAUGGGUUGUUUUGGGAAGGACAAGUUACUACAAGUUCAACCUAGUCUCAGACAGAAGGUGAAUGACCAUGACAAAGAUGGCAACGAAUUACAGACCACACCAGAGUUCAGAGCACAUGUUGCAAAGAAACUGGGAACAAUGUUAGACAGCUACAUCACUGUACUGGAGGAUUCAUCAGGUCCUGCACAGACUUCCAUGCAAACAGCUGACUCUGAAGACGAUGGCUUUCGCCUAUUCUCUUCAUCUAUUCCAGGAGACUGUGGGAAAUCCAAACCUCUGCUCUCAACCAGGAGGCGACAACCUUCCAGUUCUAGGCUGUGCAAAGCGGUCAGGGUGCUGACAGGAGGGAGAGGUCCCCCAUGAGCAGAGAUCUGGGCAUGAGGAAGAAAGAAGAGCUGUGAAAAUGCCACCUGCAACAGCUGGAGUACAAUAAUAAUGAAUAAUCUCCUUCACCCCCCCCCCAAACAGUGGACAGGACAGCGUACUGCAUGGGAGUUGUCUUAAAAGUGUUGAAUUGCUGGCAUUUCCUGACAGACUUUUGGAACAAGGGUUACAUGUCAGCUGUUCGUGCAAAACGUGAACACCUCAGCGGAUGGAAGGGGUACCAAAAUACAUGAUAAUGAAGGGAUUAUGAUGGGAAAUUAGUUUGUAGUAGAGCAGGAGAGUAAACAGCUAAUUUUUGGUCUGAGGAGAUUCUGUGAAAGAGAGAUAUAUGAUAAGAAAAUAAUCUGGGGAAUGCAAGCAAUGCCCCACCCCACGCUGCUAAGAGUGAGUGCGUGCUGGAUCUGGAGAAAGCAAUAAAUCUGCCCUGUGAACUGGUCUCAUUGUUACUGUGUAAUGCUGCUGGAGCAUGCCUGCAAAAUCAUCAUGAAUGUUUACUAGCCUAGGCACAAAGUCUACUUGCCUGUUUUUACCAUGCUGCGCUGAAAAUAUGAUACGUUAAUUGCCCAUCAGAUAAAAUCACGUGUGCCUCAAACUAAUGUGGUAAGUAGAGUUUUUCCAGGCUGUAGAAUUAGAAACUAUUUCAUCAUGGGUGGCCAGCAUGCAUGCUGCUGUUCUAUGGAUACCAGAAUUGUUGUAUGCCCCCUUCCCAGAAGAGUACAGGAAACUAAUCUAAAGAACUGAAAAGUACUUGAAUUACUGAUUUACAUUCCCCUCUGAUAGUGGAAAAGAGCAGAUUGAUGCUCUACUUGUAUGUAAAGACUUGUGAAAAUAAAUUGUUUGAACAGACUGAUGCAUGGUAUGGUGGGAAUCGCUCCCAGUGAAACUCUAUUUACAGGGCAGUAGAAUGAAAAGUCCCAAAUUUGUCACUGUGUCACAGUUUUCCAUUUUCAGUUCUGGUAAUAAUGAAUUGCUACUUUGAGGGAGACUGUUCAGGGAAAAGAAAAUGAUUUCCCCUGAGAGGGGGUCCUGCUGUGUG